rnacentral:tRNA from 1 species
CGUUCGGUGGCGGGGAUGCCGUCGCCGGAGUCGGCGACGGCGAACAGCAGGUCGUCGUCCUGGCGUUCGACCCGGACGCGGACGG